AGCGUCGGGGCUCACCCCUCUCCAUUCCGAACAGGGAAGUUAAGCCCGAUUGCGCCGAUGAUACUGCAUCUAUGUGGAAAAGUAGGUCGCCGCCUUCU
rnacentral:rRNA from 1 species